rnacentral:rRNA from 2 species
UUAAAUCAGUUAUCGUUUAUUUGAUAGUGCCUAUCCUACUUGGAUAACCGUGGUAAUUCUAGAGCUAAUACAUGCUAAAAAUCCCGACUUCGGAAGGGAUGCAUUUAUUGGAUACAGAACCAACGCCCUUCGGGGCUUUCUGGUGAAUCACAAUAACUUCGCGGAUCGCACGGCCUUGUGCCGGCGAUGGUUCAUUCAAAUUUCUGCCCUAUCAACUUUCGACGGCUGGGUCUUGGCCAGCCGUGGUGACAACGGGUAACGGAGGGUUAGGGCUCGACCCCGGAGAAGGAGCCUGAGAGACGGCUACUACAUCCAAGGAAGGCAGCAGGCGCGCAAAUUACCCAAUCCCGACUCGGGGAGGUAGUGACAAUAAAUACUGAUCCAGGGCUCUUUUGGGUCUUGGAAUUGGAAUGAGUACAAUUUAAAUCCCUUAACGAGGAACAAUUGGAGGGCAAGUCUGGUGCCAGCAGCCGCGGUAAUUCCAGCUCCAAUAGCGUAUAUUAAAGUUGUUGAGGUUAAAAAGCUCGUAGUUGAACCUUGGCCCCGGCUAGCUGGUCCGCCUCACCGCGAGUACUGGUUCGGCCGGGGCUUUCCCUCUGGGGAACCUCAUGCCCUUCACUGGGUGUGCUGGGGAACCAGGACUUUUACUGUGAACAAAUCAGAUCGCUCAAAGAAGGCCUUCGCUCGAAUGCAUUAGCAUGGAAUAAUAGAAUAGGACGUGCGGUUCUAUUUUGUUGGUUUCUAGGACCGCCGUAAUGAUUAAUAGGGACAGUCGGGGGCGUCCGUAUUCAAUUGUCAGAGGUGAAAUUCUUGGAUCUAUUGAAGACGAACUACUGCGAAAGCAUUCGCCAAGGAUGUUUUCAUUAAUCAGGAACGAAAGUUAGGGGAUCGAAGACGAUCAGAUACCGUCGUAGUCUUAACCAUAAACUAUGCCGAUUAGGGAUCGGACGAUGUUAUUUUUUGACUCGUUCGGC